rnacentral:misc_RNA from 1 species
AAGUCGUAACAAGGUCUCCGUUGGUGAACCAACGGAGGGAUCAUUACCGAGUUUACAACUCCCAAACCCCUGUGAACAUACCUAUCGUUGCUUGCGGCGGCAUGCCGCCCCGGCGGCCCUCGGGCCCGGAUCGAGGCCGCCCGGCCGGAGACCCCAAACUCUUGUAUUUCUUUAGUAUCUUCUGAGUAAACAAGCAAAUAAUUAAA